AUUGAACGCUGGCGGCAGGCCUAACACAUGCAAGUCGAACGAGUGGCGGACGGGUGAGUAAUGUGUGGGAAACUGCCCGAUGGAGGGGGGUAACUACUGGAAACGGUAGCUAAUACCGCAUACCAUCGGAUUUGCCCAGAUGGGAUUAGCUGGUGGGUGGGGUAACGGCGCACCUAGGCGACGAUCCCUAGCUGGUCUGAGAGGAUGACCAGCAACACUGGAACUGAGACACGGUCCAGACUCCUACGGGAGGCAGCAGUGGGGAAUAUUGCACAAUGGGCGCAAUCCUGAUGCAGCCAUGCCGCGUGUAUGAAGAAGGCCUUCGGGUUGUAAAGUACUUUCAGCGAGGAGGCGUUACUCGCAGAAGAAGCACCGGCUAACUACGUGCCAGCAGCCGCGGUAAUUC
rnacentral:rRNA from 1 species